AUCCAGCACACUCUCUUGGACUUUAUAAAUGGCAGCGAACGGGAGUAGUGUUUCCAAAGCGUUCUUUAGAUGCGUCUCCAAUAUUUACUCCACCUCCUACCCAUCAAGCUUCAGGAAGUAUGCAUGCUGGAUAUGGGAUGCCAAGCGGUUCUUCAAAAACACUUGACGAAACAAUGGCAACAGAGAUAGAAACUUUGAGUUUGUCAAGUUUGGAAUCCAUGCGCCAUGUUAUGGACCUGUUGAGUAACAUGCUUCAAGCUGUGAAUCCUAGUCGGCGGCGUCAAUGAGUGUGACGUCACAUGUGGCAGAUUCCUCAACUACUGUUCCAUCCAAUGCAUUAGCUCUUCCCGAUCCACCUGCACCAGUUAGUACUGGAAAGGAUCAGGACAUUAUUGACUUGCUGAGCCUCACUUUGUCCCUCACACCAUCGACUCCACAGGAAAAUUAUACGUCAUCAGCGACCUCUGUCGAAGGAAUGCAUCAAACAGCCAAUCCAUCCACAACAGGGGUAUUCUAAUGCUCCCCAAACAUAUCCUGGGAAUAAGCAAUACAACAGUUAUGUCGCGCCAUGGGCUAGGCCUCAAUCGCCGUCGGAACCUCAAGUCCAGUCACAGCAACAGAUGUAUCAACCCCAGUCUCAGUCCCGCUCCCAGUCUGCGACCCCACCCUCGUAUGAAUCCGAACAAUCACUGCAUAAUCAACCACCUCAGUUUCAGCAAUCACAACCGUUCCAACAACAAAAUCAGCCACCUUUGCAGACCCCACCCUCGUAUGAAUCCGAACAAUCACUUAA